rnacentral:rRNA from 1 species
UACGAAGGGGGCUAGCGUUGUUCGGAAUUACUGGGCGUAAAGCGCGCGUAGGCGGUGAUCUUUGUCAGAGGUGAAAGCCCCGGGGCUCAACUCCGGAAUUGCCUUUGAAACGGGAUCGCUUGAGUCCGAGAGAGGAUGGACGGAAGUUCCUAGUGUAGAGGUGAAAUUCGUAGAUAUUAGGAAAGAACACCGGUGGCGAAGGCGGCCAUCUGGCUCGGUACUGACGCUCAGGCGCGAAAGCGUGGGGAGCAAACAGG